GAGGAACACAAGGAACAGGGAGAGAAAAGCAAGGGGAAGCCAUGAUGGAUCUGAGAGCACAAAAUGAGAGAGCCUCCAAAUCAGCAUCAGGACUUCGGAAAUCAACCUUGACUGUCCUUUGGAAGGCAGAUGCUGAAGUUGAAGCUCAAAUACUUUGGCCACAAAUGAGAAGAGAGGACUCAUUGGAAAAACCCCUGAUGUUGGGAAAGAUUGAAGGCAAAAGAGGAAAGGGACAGCAGAGCAUGAGAUAAUUACAUAGUUUCAUCCAUGCAAUGGGCAUGAGUUUGGGCAGACUCAGGAAGACAGUAGAAGACUGGGGGGCCCGGUAUGCUAUGGUUCAUGGGGUCGCAUGACUUAGUGACCGAAUAACAACCAUUCCCUUUGUAAAAGUUACUUUAAUAAAACAUAGUAAAAUUACAAGUAGUCCUUCACUUACUACUGUUCAUUUAACAACAGUUCAACUUUACAAUGCCUUAUGACUCAUCCUCAGAUUUACGACAAUUUCACCAUCCGCAGCGUCAUUUGAUUGCAAUCUGGGUGCUUGGCAACUGGCUUGCAUUUACAACAGUUGCAGUGACUUGCAGUCAUGUGAACCCAAUUUGUGACAUUGCCAGCCAGCUUCUAGCAAGCAAAGCCAAUUGAGGAUGUCAGAUUUACUUAAGGACCACUUGAUUCACUUAUUAACCCCUAAUUUGCUUACUGACUGGUAAUUAAGGUUGUAUAAAUGGUAGUAGAAUUGGGCCUGAUCAUACGAUGGCUCAUUUAAUGAUUACAUCAUUAGUGACCAAAAUUUUGGUCUCAGUUUUGGUAGUAAGUGAAGGAGUACCUAUACUGAUCUAAUGUGUAGCCUUUUCUGGAGGCAAUUCACAAUAUUAGAUGCAUCUUAAGUUGCAAUGUUUGUUUGUUUGUUUGUUUAUUAAACUUCUUAACCACCAUCUCCCUCAGAGGGACUCUGGACAGUGGGCAUGUAUUGAAGUGGGCUGUUAUAUACAAAAACAGAUGGACCGAAUGGCAGCCUUGGAUGCUGAACUUGCUGGCAUAUCAAAGUCUACAUCCACAUAGCGGACAAAAUGAGAAGGCACUUCCCGGUCUGAGCCAAGUUCCAGAUGGCAAAAGAAGCAAUGAGGAUGACCUGCAGCUAAAAAGAAAUGAAAGAAUAUGGCAACUGAGAACACCGACAUGGAAUCUUAGAAGAAAAAGGAUGACAAAUACCAAAAGAAAGUCACUGAAUUAUUCAAAUGAUUAUGUUAGAAUUCUGAGGUCAGCUUUUUUGACAUAAAUAUGGAGAGAGACAACUUAUUUUUUAAAAUCAAACUUGAGAAGGCAUUAAAUAAAGCUUCGCUAGAAUAUUACUAGUACCAUAUAUUCUAAUUCUAGAACCUGUCUAAACAACUACGGCUCCUAUAAUCCCUACAAUUCAUCAUCACUGGCAAAAUUAGUUAACUGAAGGGAGUUGGAAAGCCACACUGCCCACACAUUUUAGAAUAUUGCUGCACAACUCUCACAAGCUUCUGGCUUAUUCCUUGCAAAUACAUCACAAUGAAUCCUGGAAAAAAUGCUUGAAAAACUGUCAGCUAAUGCUAGCUAAAGGCUGGUUGUCUCUUCUUUCAUGCAGAAUUAUCACUUGGCAUAUACAAUAGUAGAUAAGGCUGAUGCAUGCUAUUAACAGUUCUACAUGUUAAUUUAGAAAAGAAUAAUCCAAUGCGUACAAACGUGGUCUUUUAAAAUGCUCAAUCCCAAGGCAGUAAGGAAAGCCCAGCUUCUUUUAAAAUAUAGGGAUUGAGGCAUGAUUACACAGAGAAAUAGGCACAACUCAUUGUUCUUUGCUGAAGACCAUGAGUGAUAAUUAUUUUGAACCAUGUACUUUCUUCAUGUGAAAAAUUCAGGAACAAAUACAUCAUCUAAUUUUUUCUAGGGCUGCAAGGCAAAUAUUUGGUAUGCACUUGUAUAAGGUGCAAACAAAAAUUAUGACUUAUUGCAUGUAAUUGUUCAUAAGAAGAUAUUGAGGUAUUUUUUUAAUGAAAAGCUUACAUCAAAAAGAGGAAAUAAAUUUACUUAACUUUU